rnacentral:lncRNA from 1 species
AAAACGAGGCCAUAAACCUGGGUGAAGGGAGAGGCUGCUUGGUCACAAACACAAAUAAACAAGACAUUUCUGAGUUCUUCCUUUGGUCUGACUUCAGCCCCCUCACUCCAGGAGAGAGGCUGCAGAGCUCAAACCUGGGAACCGAGCCCAGGCCCGGCCCUGUCCCCCAAUGUGGGCAGGCACAUCCGGAGCAGCUGGUGCCAUCUGGCUUUCUCUGGCUUUGGGGUCGGGGGGAAUGUGAAGAGGAGGGAGCCCCUUCUUCUUCCCUGCUCCCCUGGCUGGAGUGGCUGCUGCAGCUCCUGCUCUAGCUGCCGGUUGCGCCGGUACAUCUGGAUGUAGUUUGCUGGAAUGAAUCUCAAUUCCCCCUGGGCCCCAAACCACACUGCCCAAUGCUGGUCUGAACAGGGCUGAGGAGUGA